AAUAGAUACCCUGGUAGUCCAUGCCGUAAACGUUGGGCGCUAGAUGUGGGGACCAUUCCACGGUUUCCGUGUCGCAGCUAACGCAUUAAGCGCCCCGCCUGGGGAGUACGGCCGCAAGGCUAAAACUCAAAGGAAUUGACGGGGGCCCGCACAAGCGGCGGAGCAUGCGGAUUAAUUCGAUGCAACGCGAAGAACCUUACCAAGGCUUGACAUAUACGAGAACGCUGCAGAAAUGUAGAACUCUUUGGACACUCGUAUACAGGUGGUGCAUGGUUGUCGUCAGCCCGUGUCGUGAGAUGUUGGGUUAAGUCCCGCAACGAGCGCAACCCUCGUUCUAUGUUGCCAGCGGUUCGGCCGGGAACUCAUAGGAGACUGCCGGGGUCAACUCGGAGGAAGGUGGGGAUGACGUCAAAUCAUCAUGCCCCUUAUGUCUUGGGCUUCACGCAUGCUACAAUGGCCGGUACAAAGGGCUGCAAUACCGCAAGGUGGAGCGAAUCCCAAAAAGCCGGUCUCAGUUCGGAUUGAGGU
rnacentral:rRNA from 1 species